rnacentral:rRNA from 1 species
AUUGAACGCUGGCGGCAUGCCUAACACAUGCAAGUCGAACGGUUUAUGGAGCUUGCUCCAUAGAUAGUGGCGGACGGGUGAGUAAUAUGUAGGAAUCUGCCUUGAGGAGGGGGAUAACUUGGGGAAACUCAAGCUAAUACCGCGUAAGUCGGAGACGAGAAAGCAGGGGACCGAAAGGCCUUGCGCCUUAAGAUGAGCCUACAUCGGAUUAGCUAGUUGGUGGGGUAAAGGCCUACCAAGGCGAUGAUCCGUAGCUGGUCUGAGAGGAUGACCAGCCCCAGUGGGACUGAGACACGGGCCAGACUCCUGCGGGAGGCAGCAGUGGGGAAUAUUGGACAAUGGGGGAAACCCUGAUCCAGCAAUGCCGCGUGUGUGAAGAAGGCCUUCGGGUUGUAAAGCACUUUCAGUGGGGAAGAAGGAUGUAUGGUUAAUACCCAUGCAUUUUGACGUUAACCACAGAAGAAGCACCGGCUAACUCUGUGCCAGCCGCCGCAGUAA